UGGAGGUAGUGACAAUAAAUCACAAUGCGGGACUAUCAGUCUUGCAAUUGGAUUGAGAACAAUGUACAACUCUUAUCGAUAAGCCAUUGGAGGGCAAGUCUGGUGCCAGCAGCCGCGGUAAUUCCAGCUCCAAUAGCGUAUAUUAACGUUGUUGCAGUUAAAAAGCUCGUAGUUGAAGUGUGGGUGAUCGCUGUUGUGAGACUUCGGUCUCUCGACAGUAAGUCACCCCCUUCCAGUAUCCAGUAGUGGGUAUUCACUUACUUACUACUGUGUGUUGGUCGUUUACUGUGAGAAAAUUAGAGUGUUCAAAGCAGGCGUUUGCUUGAAUAGAUUAGCAUGGAAUAAUAAUUGAAGGCUUUCGUGUUCGAUUUGAUUGGUUUGUUCAUGGAAGCAAGGUUAAAAGGAACAGUUGGGGGUAUUCAUAUUCACU
rnacentral:rRNA from 1 species